UACGGAGGGUGCAAGCGUUGUCCGGAUUUAUUGGGUUUAAAGGGUGCGUAGGUGGCCCUAUAAGUCAGUGGUGAAAGUCUGCAGCUUAACUGUAGAACUGCCAUUGAUACUGUAGGGCUUGAGUACUGAUGAGGUAGGCGGAAUUGAUAGUGUAGCGGUGAAAUGCAUAGAUAUUAUCAAGAACACCAAUGGCGAAGGCAGCUCUCUGGGACGGUACUGACGCUGAGACGCGAAAGCGUGGGGAGCGAACAGG
rnacentral:rRNA from 1 species